rnacentral:pre_miRNA from 1 species
UCUAGGAGUGUUUGUAGGAGCGCCACGUGAAAAUGUAGGAGCGUAUAUAGGAAGUUUAAUAGACUUUUAGUAUAUAAUAGAUUUCUAGGAUUUCUCUAAUUUAUUUGAGAGUCACGUAGCGUUGUAAAAGCAUUUGUAGA